rnacentral:rRNA from 1 species
UACGUAGGGUGCAAGCGUUGUCCGGAAUUAUUGGGCGUAAAGAGCUCGUAGGCGGUUUGUCACGUCGGGUGUGAAAGCCCGGGGCUUAACCCCGGGUCUGCAUUCGAUACGGGCAGACUAGAGUGUGGUAGGGGAGAUCGGAAUUCCUGGUGUAGCGGUGAAAUGCGCAGAUAUCAGGAGGAACACCGGUGGCGAAGGCGGAUCUCGUGGGCCUUACCUGACGCUGAGGAGCGAAAGCAUGGGGAGCAAACAGG